UGAUGCGCUGAUGUAGGCUGCCACAAGUGUAUACUAACAAUGUAAUGCCUAUUUUUAAUAAAGCAGCAACAAUAUCCUUUCAUAGUACAUGUUAUUUAUUCUAAUUUGUUUAGUUUAAGUGCUUUUAAGUCUCACGAGCCAAGAAUUUUCUGCACAUCACGACGCAACGGCGGGGGGAAAAAACCCGGUAAAGGUUAUUGUUUGUGGAUCGCGUUAUUUAAUAGUAUUUAAGAGAGCAUAUUGAAUUGCAUUGUUGGCAAAUAUGGACCGGCAACCAUAUCAGCUAUCGUGGCCGUCGGCAGCUUCACUGGGAGCAGAAGGAGGCUGCUGAGCUGAGAAGUCUGGAGGAGGAGGCUGGAAAGACGUCGCGCUAUCCCAGCGUCUCUGGCUUUGAUCAAAAUCCUCGGAGGUACGUGCAAAUAAACAACCAUGUGCCGAUCCUCUGCACGUUCUUCUAUGAGGCCGACCUGAAACCAGCUUUUAGACUCCAGAGAUCCAUCAACGUGCUGCUCCAGAUGUUGCCUCGGCAACAGCCUCAUGGAUGGAGCCAUGACAUGGAGGUGGCUGUGUCUCUGUGCUGGCUGGCAUGAAGGCACCUCCUACAGAGUGUCAGCAGACUCUUCACCAUACCCAGAGCCACAGUUGGCAGGAUAGUCCACAGUGUAGUGGAGGAGAUGAUGGCCAUCCAUUUCCCCAAGCCAGGAGAGAUGGAGGAGGUGGGGGCUCCACUGUGCGGCUGGUGGCAUAGAUGGUGCCAUGUCAGAAUCCUCCCACCUGCUGAACCACAAAAGAAGUGCUAUUUGAACCGCAAGCUCUUCCCUUCGGUGUGAAGGAGUUGUAGAAGGAGUCCCUCUACCCACCAGCUGCUGCUUCCUCCUUGGAGACGGGGCUACCCUUGCCUGCAGCAUCCUGUGACCCUCAUGACCCCAUACCACCAUCCUGUAGCAAGCCAAGUUGAAGCAGAUUCAACAGGCACCCUGCCAAGGCCAGGAACGUGAUUGAGCGGAACCU